ACCUAUUUUUGUGACUAUUUUAUACACUUUUCUUAAUAAAUAUCUAGAAACGAAACUGUGAGGUCAAAGAACAUCAAUAACGUUAAGGCCCUUACAUACCACAGACCAAACUGCUCUCUCAAAAGGUGGUUCAAUUUAUACUCCCAUGAACGUUCAGCCUCUGCAACUGCCCCCCACCCCUAUAUCUAUUAUUUUAAAAAGUUCCCACUUUAAUUGGUGGUGUCUCAGUGCUGUGUUUUGAAUUCUUUUCAUUGAUUAUGAGGAGAAUAUUUUAUUGGCCAUUUGUAAUUUAUGUAUAGCUUUUUGGUUCAAUUCUUUUGUCCAGUUUUUUAGAGAUGAAAACUAUAGUCUUCCAAACCAAACUCUUUUAUUUUGUUUGUUUGUUUCUCACAGUUUAUAAAAACUUAAUGAUAGAUGCUCAUCAGAUUAGAAGUAGACAUGCUUCAUUAAAAAUCCUUACCCUGGAGCCUUAGUUGGUUUUUUGUAAAUUCACUCACCUUCUUGAUGGUAUGAGCAGCCACGGUGGGCUCUGGGCAGAGACUGUGUGGAUUCAUCCGGAGGACGAGCUGUUCAGGGCAUGAGGAAGAGGAGGGUGUGGGGCUGCUGACCCCUGCCUGAUGCCCUGUGGCCCAGCCUGUGGGCUGGAGGCUGCUCGGGCCCAGUGGAGGCUCUCUGACCUGGAGCCACGGUGUCUGCUUCUCCAAGUCCUACCUCCCCUCCGGACCUCAGCAUUCAUCUGAAAAGCAGCGGUGGUGCUGGCUCUUACAUAGGGGUGUAGUGAGCCUCAAAUGCGGAGGUGUUUAGCAGAUGGUUAUGAAUUAUAAUAAAGGCAAAGUUAUUAUUAUUA